rnacentral:ncRNA from 2 species
CUUUUAUCGAGAGAGGUGGAGGGAAAGGCCCUAUGAAACCUCGGCAACCUGCAAACGUAUUUGUUUGAAAAGGUGCCAAUUCCUACUCUAAGUGAACUUAGAGAGAGAUAAGAG